rnacentral:lncRNA from 1 species
UGGGUGUCACUCGCCAGAGGGUUUUGGAUCAGAUCCCAAAAACAAGGAACCGAUCCGCCAUGAAAAGACAGAGAGUUGCUAAUCAUACGUCGGUCAAGGGGGUUAGAACUCAAAUUCUAUGGUGCCCACCUUAUACUAUACAAGAAAGACGCAACUCUAAAUUUUGUCGGAAGAUGUAGUUUUAGUAUAUAAAGAAUAUAAUGAACUGGAG